UACGUAGGGUGCGAGCGUUGUCCGGAAUUACUGGGCGUAAAGAGCUCGUAGGUGGUUUGUCGCGUUGUCCGUGAAAAACUCACAGCUCAACUGUGGGCGUGCGGGCGAUACGGGCAGACUGGAGUACUGCAGGGGAGACUGGAAUUCCUGGUGUAGCGGUGGAAUGCGCAGAUAUCAGGAGGAACACCGGUGGCGAAGGCGACUACCUGGCCUGUUCUUGACGCUGAGGCGCGAAAGCUAGGGUAGCAAACGGG
rnacentral:rRNA from 1 species